GAAAUAUUUUAAUUUAAACUUCUAAUUUAAAAAUAAGUGAAUUACUUCAUUUAUAUUUCA
rnacentral:tRNA from 1 species